rnacentral:rRNA from 1 species
CCUACGGGUGGCAGCAGUGAGGAAUAUUGGUCAAUGGGCGGAAGCCUGAACCAGCCAAGUCGCGUGAGGGAUUAAGGCCCUGCGGGUCGUAAACCUCUUUUGCCGGGGAGCAGUGGUCCGGACGCGUCCGGACCGGGAGAGUACCCGGAGCAAAAGCAUCGGCUAACUCCGUGCCAGCAGCCGCGGUAAUACGGAGGAUGCGAGCGUUAUCCGGAUUUAGUGGGUUUAAAGGGAGCGUAGGCCGGCUUUUAAGUCAGCUGUGAAAGUCCGCGGCUCAACCGUGGAAUUGCAGUUGAAACUGGAGGCCUUGAGUGCACACAGGGAUGCCGGAAUUCAUGGUGUAGCGGUGAAAUGCUUAGAUAUCAUGAAGAACUCCGAUCGCGAAGGCAAGUGUCCGGGGUGCAACUGACGCUGAGGCUCGAAAGUGCGGGUAUCAAACAGGAUUAGAUACCCCAGUAGUC